AUGCAGUCGAACGGCAGCACGGACUUCGGUCUGGUGGCGAGUGGCGAACGGGUGAGUAAUGUAUCGGAACGUGCCUAGUAGCGGGGGAUAACUACGCGAAAGCGUAGCUAAUACCGCAUACGCCCUACGGGGGAAAGCAGGGGAUCGUAAGACCUUGCACUAUUAGAGCGGCCGAUAUCGGAUUAGCUAGUUGGUGGGGUAACGGCUCACCAAGGCGACGAUCCGUAGCUGGUUUGAGAGGACGACCAGCCACACUGGGACUGAGACACGGCCCAGACUCCUACGGGAGGCAGCAGUGGGGAAUUUUGGACAAUGGGGGAAACCCUGAUCCAGCCAUCCCGCGUGUGCGAUGAAGGCCUUCGGGUUGUAAAGCACUUUUGGCAGGAAAGAAACGUCCAUGGGUUAAUACCCUAUGAAACUGACGGUACCUGCAGAAUAAGCACCGGCUAACUACGUGCCAGCAGCCGCGGUAAUACGUAGGGUGCAAGCGUUAAUCGGAAUUACUGGGCGUAAAGCGUGCGC
rnacentral:rRNA from 1 species